rnacentral:rRNA from 1 species
GACGAACGCUGGCGGCGUGCUUAACACAUGCAAGUCGAACGGAAAGGCCCUGCUUGUGUGGGGUGCUCGAGGGGCGAACGGGGGAGUAAGAGGUGAGUAACCUGCCCUAGACUUUGGGAUAAGUUCAGGAAACUGGGGCUAAUACCAGAUAGGAGCUCCUGUUGCAUGGAGGGGGGUGGAAAGUUGCUGCGGGUGGGGAUGGACGCGCGGCUAACCAGCUUGUUGGUGGGGGAGGGGCUUACCAAGUAUGUGACGGGUAGCCGGCCUGAGAGGGUGAACGGCCACAUUGGGCCUGCGAUACGGCCCAGUCUCCUACGGUAGGCAGCAGUGGGGAAUAUUGCACAAUGGGCGGACGCCUGAUGCAGCAACCCCGCGUGCGGGAUGCCGGCCUUCGGGUAGUAAACCGCUUUCGGCUGUGACGCAGCGUUUGUGACGGUAAUGGGUGAAGAAGCACCGGCUAACUACGUG